GUGUGUGAGAGAGAGAGAUUGAUUGAUUGAUUGAUUGAUUGAUUGUUUAUUGUUGCAAGUAAACAACAAAGGAGAAGGGAGGAACAUGCCAUCCCAACCCCCAGGCAGUACAGAGUGUGAUUAUACAACUAAGGAUACAUAUGUGGAAGGAGAGAGAGAGAGAGAGAGAGAGAGAGAGAGAGAGAGAGUAUAAGGACCACGUAUUCUGUGAUCAUUAUUUCUUAUACCUCCCAGUUAUAGUGUGCUUAAGUGGUAGAUUAGUGUCGAGAUGUAAGAAUUUUACCAGUCGUGACCAAGGGUGGUGUGUAACAGGGGGGGGGGAGCAGUAAUUAUGGACGGUAUUAUUUGGUUCAAGGUGAUGAGGGAACAGGUGGUUACGAUAGGCGCCGGUCAGAUCUUAACAUUAAUUAUUGAUACGCAACGACAAUUAAGAGGAACAGGUAGUAAUUAUAGGUGGCACCACUACGAUCCUUGUUAAGUCAUUAGUGAUUACAGAUUAUAAAGCGAACAGUAUAGUAGUCAGGUGUCCGUAUUACGUACGAUGCUUAACUCAUUAGUGAUUUGCGAUGAACAGGGAAACAGGUAGUAAUUAGGCGUCACUAUUACGAUGCUUAACUCAUUAGUGAUUUGCGAUGACCAGGGAAACUGGUAGUAAUUAGGCGUCACUAUUACGAUGCUUAACUCAUUAGUGAUUUGCGAUGACCAGGGAAACAGGUGGUAAUUAGGCGUCACUAUUACGAUGUUUAACUCAUUAGUGAUUUGCGAUGAGCAGGGAAACAGGUAGUAAUUAGGCGUCACUAUUACGAUGUUUAACUCAUUAGUGAUUUGCGAUGACCAGGGAAACAGGAAGUAAUUAGGCGUCACUAUUACGUACGAUGCUUAACUCAUUAGUGAUUUGCGAUGAGCAGGGAAACAGGUAGUAAUUAGGCGUCACUAUUACGAUGCUUAACUCAUUAGUGAUUUGCGAUGACCAGGGAAACAGGUAGUAAUCAGGCGUCACUAUUACGAUGUUUAACUCAUUAGUGAUUUGCGAAUACUAGAGGGACAGAUAAUUAUAGGCGUCCGUUUGGAAGUGCUGAUUAAUUUGUGACUUGCGCGUACCCGAGGGACAGACAGUUAUAGCUAUGGGCGUGCGUAUGCAGAUGCUUCUUAACUCAUCAGUGAUUUGCGAUUACUAGAGGAACAGAUAAUUAUGGGUAUGCGUAUGGAGAUGCUUCUUUACACAUGAGUGAUUUGCGAUUAAUAUAAUAGAACAGAUAAUUGUAGGCACGCGUGUGGAGAUGCUUGUUUACUCAUUACCUAUUGAUAAGAUUACAAGGGGACAGAUUGCAGCUAUAUAGACACCCGUGUGGAGAUGCUUGUUAACUCAUUAUACUACGAUAAGCGUUGGUGCAGUGAUUAUAUAUACGUGGUAAUUAAGAGUUGGCUCCGCUGUGUUAAGAUAUUUGUUAAUUAUUUCUUUAUCACUUUGAAACCCGUGGACAAAAUUAAGAACUGGCUCCGCUGUGUUAAGAUAUAUUUGUUAAUUCUUUCUUUAUCACUUUGAAACCCGUGGACAAAGUUAAGAACUGGCUCCGCUGUGUUAAGAUAUUUGUUAAUUCUUUCUUUAUCACUUUCAAACCCGUG